UAGGCGGCAUGAUAAGUUUGAUGNGAAAUUCCCCNGGUUCAACCGGGAGGGUUCAUUGGAAACUUUCAUGCUUGAGUGCAGAAGAGGAGAGUGGAAUUCCAUGUGUAGCGGUGAAAUGCGCAGAGAUAUGGAGGAACACCAGUGGCGAAGGCGGCUUUCUGGUCUGUAACUGACGCUGAUGUGCGAAAGCGUGGGGAUCAAACAGGAUUAGAUACCCUGGUAGUCCACGCCGUAAACGAUGAGUGCUAAGUGUUAGGGGGUUUCCGCCCCUUAGUGCUGCAGCAAACGCAUUAAGCACUCCGCCUGGGGAGUACGACCGCAAGGUUGAAACUCAAAUGAAUUGACGGGGACCCGCACAAGCGGU
rnacentral:rRNA from 1 species